rnacentral:rRNA from 1 species
UACGGAGGGUGCGAGCGUUGUCCGGAAUUACUGGGCGUAAAGCGCGUGUAGGCGGCAGGGCAAGUCGGAUGUGAAAUCCCGUGGCUCAACCACGGAAGUGCACCCGAAACUGCCCAGCUAGAGUCUCGGAGAGGAAGGUGGAAUGCUUGGUGUAGAGGUGAAAUUCGUAGAUAUCAAGCGGAACACCGGUGGCGAAUGCGGCCUUCUGGACGAUGACUGACGCUGAGACGCGAAAGCGUGGGGAGCAAACAGG